rnacentral:rRNA from 1 species
UACGGGGGGAGCAAGCGUUGUUCGGAUUUACUGGGCGUAAAGGGCGCGUAGGCGGUCAGCACAAGUCAGUUGUGAAAUCUCCGGGCUUAACUCGGAACGGUCAACUGAUACUGUGCGGCUAGAGUGCAGAAGGGGCAACUGGAAUUCUUGGUGUAGCGGUGAAAUGCGUAGAUAUCAAGAGGAACACCUGCGGCGAAGGCGGGUUGCUGGGCCGACACUGACGCUGAUGCGCGAAAGCCAGGGGAGCGAACGGG